GAAAAUCCGUUGGUUUCACAGGACCGUGAGGGUUCGACUCCCUCUAU
rnacentral:tRNA from 1 species